UUUACAGUUUCAGCAAGUUCCCAGGUGCUGCUGAUACUGCUGUGGUUUGGGGAGUAGAAAUAGCUGCCCACAGGGCUUCUUAAACUUUAACAUCCAUAAAAACCACCUGGGGUGUGAUGGGACCCAGUAGAUCUGGGGCACACCUGAGAUUCGGCACUACCAACCAGCUCUAAGAAGAACUCUGAUGCUUCUGUGUUCACAGCUUUGGCAGAAAGGGCUUAACGGAACCACAGAAGGAUUCCAAGGAAGAGUUACAUUUCAGCCAAGAUUGAAGGAUGAGUAUAUUUCUCCAGGAAGUUACAGGGUAGAGAAUAAUAGAAGGCGAGAGAGGAAGAAAAGAGAAGGAUAAUUUUGCAGAGGGCAUAACAUGACCCAUGCCAGGUCGAAUGAAAAAGGCAAAGACAUUGGGGAUGGAAGAUGACCUGUUACUGAGAGUGAUCAUAAGCCAGUUGCUCAAAGACCGAUGUGGAAAGGGCUUAAGAAGGAAGAGGACCAGAGGGAAAUUACCAUCUGGAGACAAGAUGACACUGGGAACUUGGAGGAAAACGUUCAGGUACCGUAUGAGGAAGCAGAACACUGGUUGUAGGUUGUGUAUCAAUGGCUUUCUAUGAGUAAAUGACCUGAAAAUGUAUGUGACUAAGCACCAUAAUGUGGAUUUCUGAAAGCUGAAUGACUUAAAGAAAAAUCUGCUUAUUUCUAAGAAAACCAACAAGUGGUUUCUUUCAGUAAGUUAUUAAAUUUCUUUAAGGCAUGAAUGAUCUAUUAUGUAAGGAAAGUGUUUGAAUACAGGUAUUCUGUCCUUAAGUUUGGACAUUCCUGGAAACCAAACAGCCUAUAAUGCAAAGC
rnacentral:lncRNA from 10 species